rnacentral:rRNA from 1 species
UGGGGAAUAUUGGACAAUGGGGGAAACCCUGAUCCAGCGACGCCGCGUGUGUGAAGAAGGCCUGCGGGUUGUAAAGCACUUUUAGUGGGGACGAAAAGUCUCGGACUAACAUUCCGGGAUCUUGACUUAACCCAACGAAAAAGCACCGGCUAACUCUGUCCCAGCAGCCGCGGUAAUACAGAGGGUGCGAGCGUUAAUCGGAAUUACUGGGCGUAAAGCGCGCGUAGGCGGUUUUGUAAGUCGGGUGUGAAAUCCCCGGGCUCAACCCGGGAACUGCAUUCGAGACUGCAUGACUGGAGUAUGGGAGAGGACAGCGGAAUUUCCGGUGUAGCGGUGAAAUGCGUAGAUAUCGGAAGGAACAUCAGUGGCGAAGGCGGCUGUCUGGCCCAAUACUGACGCUCAUGUGCGAAAGCGUGGGGAGCAAA